rnacentral:rRNA from 1 species
GCAAGUCGAGCGGUAACAGAAAGUAGCUUGCUACUUUGCUGACGAGCGGCGGACGGGUGAGUAAUGCUUGGGAACAUGCCUUGAGGUGGGGGACAACAGUUGGAAACGACUGCUAAUACCGCAUAAUGUCUACGGACCAAAGGGGGCUUCGGCUCUCGCCUUUAGAUUGGCCCAAGUGGGAUUAGCUAGUUGGUGAGGUAAUGGCUCACCAAGGCGACGAUCCCUAGCUGGUUUGAGAGGAUGAUCAGCCACACUGGGACUGAGACACGGCCCAGACUCCUACGGGAGGCAGCAGUGGGGAAUAUUGCACAAUGGGCGCAAGCCUGAUGCAGCCAUGCCGCGUGUGUGAAGAAGGCCUUCGGGUUGUAAAGCACUUUCAGUCAGGAGGAAAGGUUAGUAGUUAAUACCUGCUAGCUGUGACGUUACUGACAGAAGAAGCACCGGCUAACUCCGUGCCAGCAGCCGCGGUAAUACGGAGGGUGCGAGCGUUAAUCGGAAUUACUGGGCGUAAAGCGUACGCAGGCGGUUUGUUAAGCGAGAUGUGAAAG